rnacentral:sRNA from 1 species
CUUAAUGAUGUUUGGUCGAAGAGUCAUCUGAAAUUUUGAAUUCAGUAAGGUGGCUGGAAAGUUUAGGGUAUUUUGAAAGAUGGUGAUUGACCUUGGACUGAACCACUAUUGAAGAUUUAUUUGAUAAUAAUUUAUAAGUUUUAACUCAGUACCUCCCUUCUGCUUUUAUAGUUCAAGGAGCAGGGACAAGUUACAGGAAUGUUCUCCAAGCAGCAAUCCAAAAGAGUCUCAAGGAUCCUUCAAAUAACUUCAGGCUCCAUAAUGGGAGAAGUAAAGAACAAAGACUUAAGGAACAGCUUGGCACUCAACAAGAACCAGUGAAGAAAUCCAUUCAGGAAUCAGAAGCUUUUUUGCCUCAGAGCAUACCUGAAGAGAGAUACAAGAUGAAGAGCAAGCCCCUAGGAAUCUGCCUGAUAAUCGAUUGCAUUGGCAAUGAGACAGAGCUUCUUCGAGACACCUUCACUUCCCUGGGCUAUGAAGUCCAGAAAUUCUUGCAUCUCAGUAUGCAUGGUAUAUCCCAGAUUCUUGGCCAAUUUGCCUGUAUGCCCGAGCACCGAGACUACGACAGCUUUGUGUGUGUCCUGGUGAGCCGAGGAGGCUCCCAGAGUGUGUAUGGUGUGGAUCAGACUCACUCAGGGCUCCCCCUGCAUCACAUCAGGAGGAUGUUCAUGGGAGAUUCAUGCCCUUAUCUAGCAGGGAAGCCAAAGAUGUUUUUUAUUCAGAACUAUGUGGUGUCAGAGGGCCAGCUGGAGGACAGCAGCCUCUUGGAGGUGGAUGGGCCAGCGAUGAAGAAUGUGGAAUUCAAGGCUCAGAAGCGAGGGCUGUGCACAGUUCACCGAGAAGCUGACUUCUUCUGGAGCCUGUGUACUGCGGACAUGUCCCUGCUGGAGCAGUCUCACAGCUCACCGUCCCUGUACCUGCAGUGCCUCUCCCAGAAACUGAGACAAGAAAGAAAACGCUCACUCCUGGAUCUUCACAUUGAACUCAAUGGCUACAUGUAUGAUUGGAACAGCAGAGUUUCUGCCAAGGAGAAAUAUUAUGUCUGGCUGCAGCACACUCUGAGAAAGAAACUUAUCCUCUCCUACACAUAA